rnacentral:rRNA from 1 species
AACGAACGCUGGCGGCAUGCCUAACACAUGCAAGUCGAACGAGACCUUCGGGUCUGGUGGCGCACGGGUGCGUAACGCGGGGGAACCUGCCCUUAAGUUCGGAAUAACUCCCCGAAUGGGGUCCGAAUACCGGCUAUUGUCUUCGGAACAAACAUUUAUCGCCUUUGGAUGGGCCCGCGUUGGAUUGGCUUGAUGGUAGCGUAAAAGCGUACCAAGGCGUGGAUCCGUAGCUGGGCUGAGAGGAUGAGCAGCGACACUGGGAAUGGGACACGGUCCAGAAUCCUACGGGAGGGAGGAGUGGGGAAUACUGGACAAUGGGGGAAAGGCUGAUCCAGCAAUGACGCGAGAGCGAUGAAGGCCGGAGGGUUGUAAAGCUAUUUUACCCGGGAUGAUAAUGACAGUACCGGGAGAAUAAGCUCCGGCUAACUCCGUG